CAGUCAUACCGGCGGGUAAUCAGCCUUUCGGGUGCGAUUCUGUGGAGUGUGAGGAGUUAAACGCCUUCAUGCCUGCAUAUUCGUGCACCUUGGGUGUACUUGCCCGUGUGGUAAGUUAACAUCAAUUUUGGUCGUCAUAAAAUGACUGGUGGAAUGUAGCUUCGGACUCGUACUGAAGUGUUAUAGCCUCCGGUAGAUGUGAUGAUCGGGAUUGAGGAUUGCAACGGAUACCCCUUCGGGGCUACCCGCCUGAUCUCUGAAAGUUGCUCUGGUGCCGAAAGCGUGCUUACGGUCAUCAAAGUUGACGUUCAAUAGGUUAGAACGGGUUAAA
rnacentral:rRNA from 1 species